AUGGUUAAGUUAGAAAGGGCGCACGGUGAAUGCCUUGGCACUAGGAGCCGAUGAAGGACGGGACUAACACCGAUAUGCUUCGGGGAGCUGUAAGUGAGCUUUGAUCCGGAGAUUUCCGAAUGGGGAAACCCACUGUUCGUAAUGGAACAGUAUCUUUAUCUGAAUACAUAGGAUAUUGAAGGCAGACCCGGGGAACUGAAACAUCUAAGUACCCGGAGGAAGAGAAAGCAAAUGCGAUUUCCUGAGUAGCGGCGAGCGAAACGGAAUUAGCCCAAACCAAGAGGCUUGCCUCUUGGGGUUGUAGGACACUCUAUACGGAGUUACAAAGGAACGAAGUAAAUGAAGCGACCUGGAAAGGUCCGUCGAAGAAGGUAACAACCCUGUAGUUGAAACUUCGUUCCCUCUUGAGUGGAUCCUGAGUACGGCGGAACACGUGAAAUUCCGUCGGAAGCUGGGAGGACCAUCUCCCAAGGCUAAAUACUACCUAGUGACCGAUAGUGAACCAGUACCGUGAGGGAAAGGUGAAAAGCACCCCGGAAGGGGAGUGAAAGAGAUCCUGAAACCGUGUGCCUACAAGUAGUCAGAGCCCGUUAAUGGGUGAUGGCGUGCCUUUUGUAGAAUGAACCGGCGAGUUACGAUCCCAUGCAAGGUUAAGCUGAUAAGGCGGAGCCGUAGCGAAAGCGAGUCUGAAUAGGGCGUUUAGUAUGUGGUUGUAGACCCGAAACCAGGUGAUCUACCCAUGUCCAGGGUGAAGUUCAGGUAACACUGAAUGGAGGCCCGAACCCACGCACGUUGAAAAGUGCGGGGAUGAGGUGUGGGUAGCGGAGAAAUUCCAAUCGAACCUGGAGAUAGCUGGUUCUCUCCGAAAUAGCUUUAGGGCUAGCCUCAUGUUGUGAGAGUCUUGGAGGUAGAGCACUGAUUGGACUAGGGGCCCCCAACGGGUUACCGAAUUCAGUCAAACUCCGAAUGCCAAAGACUUAUCCAUGGGAGUCAGACUGCGAGUGAUAAGAUCCGUAGUCAAAAGGGAAACAGCCCAGACCACCAGCUAAGGUCCCCAAGUAUACGUUAAGUGGAAAAGGAUGUGGAGUUGCUUAGACAACCAGGAUGUUGGCUUAGAAGCAGCCACCAUUUAAAGAGUGCGUAAUAGCUCACUGGUCGAGUGACUCUGCGCCGAAAAUGUACCGGGGCUAAACGUAUCACCGAAGCUGUGGAUUGACAUCUUUGAUGUCAGUGGUAGGAGAGCGUUCUAAGUGCUGUGAAGUCAGACCGUAAGGACUGGUGGAGCGCUUAGAAGUGAGAAUGCCGGUAUGAGUAGCGAAAGACAAGUGAGAAUCUUGUCCACCGAAUGCCUAAGGUUUCCUGAGGAAGGCUCGUCCGCUCAGGGUUAGUCGGGACCUAAGCCGAGGCUGAAAAGCGUAGGCGAUGGCCAACAGGUUGAUAUUCCUGUACCACCUCCCCGCCGUUUGAGUAAUGGGGGGACGCAGUAGGAUAGGGUAAGCGCGCUGCUGGAUAUGCGCGUUCAAGCAGUUAGGCUGAUGAGUAGGCAAAUCCGCUCAUCAUAAAGGCUGAGCUGUGAUGACGAGGGAAUUAUAGUACCGAAGUUCCUGAUUCCACACUGCCAAGAAAAGCCUCUAGCGAGGCGGGAGGUGCCCGUACCGCAAACCGACACAGGUAGGCGAGGAGAGAAUCCUAAGGUGAUCGAGAGAACUCUCGUUAAGGAACUCGGCAAAAUGACCCCGUAACUUCGGGAGAAGGGGUGCUCUGGUAGGGUGUAUAGCCCGAGAGAGCCGCAGUGAAUAGGCCCAGGCGACUGUUUAGCAAAAACACAGGUCUCUGCGAAGCCGCAAGGCGAAGUAUAGGGGCUGACGCCUGCCCGGUGCUGGAAGGUUAAGAGGAGGGGUUAUCCUUUGGGAGAAGCUCUGAAUCGAAGCCCCAGUAAACGGCGGCCGUAACUAUAACGGUCCUAAGGUAGCGAAAUUCCUUGUCGGGUAAGUUCCGACCCGCACGAAAGGCGUAACGAUCUGGGCACUGUCUCAACGAGAGACUCGGUGAAAUUAUAGUACCUGUGAAGAUGCAGGUUACCCGCGACAGGACGGAAAGACCCCGUGGAGCUUUACUGUAGCCUGAUAUUGAAUUUUGGUACAGCUUGUACAGGAUAGGUAGGAGCCUGAGAAGCCGGAGCGCUAGCUUCGGUGGAGGCGUCGGUGGGAUACUACCCUGGCUGUAUUGAAAUUCUAACCCGCGGCCCUUAUCGGGCCGGGAGACAGUGUCAGGUGGGCAGUUUGACUGGGGCGGUCGCCUCCUAAAAUGUAACGGAGGCGCCCAAAGGUUCCCUCAGAAUGGUUGGAAAUCAUUCGUAGAGUGUAAAGGCACAAGGGAGCUUGACUGCGAGACCUACAAGUCGAGCAGGGACGAAAGUCGGGCUUAGUGAUCCGGUGGUUCCGCAUGGAAGGGCCAUCGCUCAACGGAUAAAAGCUACCCCGGGGAUAACAGGCUUAUCUCCCCCAAGAGUCCACAUCGACGGGGAGGUUUGGCACCUCGAUGUCGGCUCAUCGCAUCCUGGGGCUGUAGUCGGUCCCAAGGGUUGGGCUGUUCGCCCAUUAAAGCGGUACGCGAGCUGGGUUCAGAACGUCGUGAGACAGUUCGGUCCCUAUCCGUCGUGGGCGUAGGAAAUUUGAGAGGAGCUGUCCUUAGUACGAGAGGACCGGGAUGGACACACCGCUGGUGUACCAGUUGUCUUGCCAAAGGCAUCGCUGGGUAGCUAUGUGUGGACGGGAUAAGUGCUGAAAGCAUCUAAGCAUGAAGCCCCCCUCAAGAUGAGAUUUCCCAUAGCGCAAGCUAGUAAGAUCCCUGAAAGAUGAUCAGGUUGAUAGGUCAGAGGUGGAAGCGUGGCGACAUGUGUAGCUGACUGAUACUAAUCGAUCGAGGACUUAACCAAA
rnacentral:rRNA from 2 species